UGAAAGCGGUGGCUCCAAUUUCUAGUGAUCCAGUACAACUUAAUGACACUGCUCCACUUACUUUUUCACUUCCUUGAAAAUGUUUUUCGUUUUUGAGAAACGACAUUCUCAAAAAUCAAAAUAAUCACAUGUACCCUGCUUAACAUGAAUCGGAAUUUCGGGUCUGAAAAGGUAUAAAUUACUGGCAUCACACAGUCUCAAAGGCAAGCUCGAGGCAAAGUCGUGAAGACAUCCAGCUUGAUAAACAAGACUCAAGGAUUGAGUCUGGAGCCUGAACUGGGAGUUCUGGAGUGGUCGUUCUAUUGCUCAAGCAAUGGACUAGGAAAUAACGUUCAUGUGUCUCCACGGAUAAUAGAUAUUUUUCAUCAUACUUGGGAAAAUCAGCAACUGGAUUCUAAAGAGUCAUAGAACAGAUACGUUUUACUGACACUGACAUUUGCUUCGCGUACUACAUAAAUCAGUACCAUUUUUUCCGUCCAUACUGUUAUGGGUGACUCACAAAGCAGAUCAGUUUCUGUUGACUCAAAUUCUUCCCAUGAGUUUGAAGUAACGAGUGAGAGCGGUAGUAGUGUCUCUUAUAAGCAAGACAAUCAUUAUAAGACCAACGGUGAUGUACGGUAUACCGUAGAGAUCAUAAAAGUAAAAACUGAAGAAGCACAAAAAUUGUAUAAUACAGCAUUCGACAAGGCAGCUGAACAUCUUAAGACCACUAAAAAGUGAACAUUCUUACGAAAUUAAGAUGAAAGGGGAAUAUAUUGCACAUUUUUUAAACUUUCUUUUUUCUAGAAAACGUGAGAAACUGAACAUGUCGAGCACGACAAGUGUGAGGAUGACACUAUCCGAUGGGAAGACUUUUCAAGGGACUAAUUCUGUGGACAUCAAUGACGGCAAAGUAGUCAAAGCAGAAUGCUCUGUAGCAAAAACCAGUGCCUUAGAAUGUGGUGAUCUUACAUUGCAAAAUGUGCCAGCAAACUUCAGCUAUUCGUCUGAAAACAGCACAAUGGACGGAAACGUGGCGGCCAAGUAUGCUUCAGAGUUUCUCUAUAACAAUCUGCGUUUGUUUUAGUUUGGUUGCCACCUUACGAGAAAAAGGUGAUGCAGAGCCUCUCCUUAGAAAAAGCUUAUUACCAGGCUUUAAAAAAAGGUUAGGCAUGUCCCCUCUAAACUACACAAGAAAACAACUGACAAUAUUAUCAACUUGAUAUGGUUUCCUGUUAACUAUGUUCAUUAAAGAAUCGCUAAUGAAAUAUAGUUUAACAAAAUUGGUCAAAUUUAGCACCAUUUUGAUCCCAUAAAUAUAAGAAAGUAACUAUAACAAAGACAACUUACUUUCUUGCUAUAAUUGCUUAUAAUAGCGGUGGAUACAAAUCUAUUACAAACAGUUGCAUAAAAGUAAUGUUGCAAGAAACCAUCAUGUAAUAAAUUGAUGUUCAGGUAUUGGAUAGAACAGGAUCAACCAAAUAAUCCUGUUAUUAUGAAAGGAACAUUUGUCGGGCAUAAUAAGUUAUGCAAUAGAAUUGGCCUACACAUAAGAAAUGGAAAAUUAUACUCGCGUCUCUUUCUAUAACGUUUCUAAGCAAGAAAAUGGUUGGAUAUUGCAUAUUUAAUAAAGUAAAGGUUUUGUCUAGCUAUGAUGAAAACAGUUAUACACAAUUAAAAGAAUGAUUGGCUUGUCAGGUAUCAUUCCAUCACUAAAUCAGGACUCCUAAAGUCUUGCGUAUAACACUAAAUGCUGUUAAAUUGAUAAAAAAAAUAGAAAAAAACCCCGAAAACCUGAAGUGGUAUUCGUAUCUUCAAAGUAAAACCAUUUCCACAAUAGUUUUUAAAGUAAAAGCUUUAAUAUAACAAGUACAUUAUCUGUUAGAUAUUAAGACAAAAAAGACUUGAGUAUGUCUCAUAAGAGAGAAACAUUUACAUCCCAUCUGUAAAUAAAUCUUUUCUUAGCUUUGGCUGAUAAGCCACACCAGACCUAUUAGGAGUGUAUGUGCUUUACAAAUUUUGCAUUUUAUAUUAUUAUUAGUUGCUUAACCAGAAAGCUUACGUCUACAUUUGUUCUGUCAUGGCUGGCUGCUGUAAACCUUUAUUUACUGGUUUUCCUGGGGGCCUUGUCGAUAUGCUUUGAAGAGCUCAAAACAAUUUCUACUUGCAUUGUCUUUCGUAGACACAAAGCCACCUUCACUGUGCAACUCGUCCUCAGAACAUUACCUUGUAUUGCGUCUUCUUCACAUUAAGCAAAACUUAAUAGCAAGAGACUCUUUUGUUUUCCAUGAAUUGUACAAUAACUUUUGUCUAUAGAUUAGUUAAAUGUUUUAUUGAUGAUGUAGUUCAGUUUGAACCACACAUAUAUACACACUUAAGCACACAAACACAAGUGCACGCAGUCAUAUAUAUAUAUAUAAUAUAUAUAUGCAUACAUGUACUGCAGAUUUUGAAGAAUUUCUAACGAUUUUUUUAGUUUGGCUUCCGUUUUUUACUGUCCCGAUGUAUACUUAAAGUUCAGUUGAUUUCUUUUAUUUCCAAUUGUAUAUCAAAAUUUCUUAUUUGACUGGUUUACUUUUUAAUAAACAGAGUUGAAUAUCUUUCCAAAA